rnacentral:Y_RNA from 1 species
GACUGGUCUGAAGGUAGUGGGUUAUCUCAGUUGACUGUUCACAAUCAGUUACAGAUGGAACUCCUUGUUCUACAAUUUCCCCCUUCUCACUACUGCACUUGACUAAUCUUGG